CACAUUAUAGUGGCAGUCCUUGUGUUACGUGGAGGUUACACUUUAUAGUGGCAGUCCUGGUGUUACGUGGAGGUUACACUUUAUAGUGGCAGUCCUGGUGUUACGUGGAGGUUACAAAUUAUAGUGGCAGUCCUGGUGUUACGUGGAGGUUACACAUUAUAAUGGGAGUCCCGGUAUUACGUGGAGGUUACACACUAUAGUGGGAGUGCCGGUGUUACGUGGUGGUGACAGAUUAUAAUGGCAGUCCUGGUGUUACCUUGCGGGCAAUAUUCCACACGUUCUCAGCAUUAUUCACAGUCUCUGAAUCACCUAUAAUCCUGAUAUUGUUACGACUGAAUACUGUUCCGUAAUGCUCCGUUUUAUGGAGCCACAAUUUUCUCGUCUACCGUGGAUUCAAAUCUGCUACUUUCUUUUCAUGCUGCUUGUUGAAAAUAUGAGUAGCACACGAACUGUGA